UCUCCUCUCCUCAGCCCUGGCCUUGACUGGAGCCCAUACUCAGCCUCUUCUGGGUCUUGGCACACUCUAAACUGACACAGCAGAAGAUCUGGGGUAGGCUGGAAAAAGGGGCAGACGCUUUCUACCAUAAUAAUCCGGUGGGGUUGUAUUAUGCAAGUUGCUUUAUCUCAACCCUAGAACAGUAGAUUUGUGUAAUUGACAUUUCACUCUGUAGCUGUUUUAGCAAUUCAUCCCAUCCGUGUCCUGCAAGCUAGAGGUACAGGCAGAUUAGAGAUGAGAAUCGGUGGAAGACCCGCUGUACGAUAGCCACCAAUCCUCCCAGCCACCUGAUAUCCAUGCCCUGGGUAAUCCCUUCCCCCUGAAUGUGAGCAAGAUCUGGGAGCUGCUUCAAACCCACGGGAUGUGGCAAUAUGCCUCCGAUAUGAGUCACUUCUGUCAUUACAUUGCAUAAGAUUGUAACACCUGUCUUAUGAAAAGGACUCUUGCAGGCUUUGAUGAAGCGUGCAGCCCUAUUUGGAAGACACACACGGCAAUGAAGUCUGAGCAGCCUUUGGCCUACAAACAGCGAGAAACUGAGGGCAGCUUCUGCCUGUCGGGCAGCAGGAGGCCGAGCCACUCAGUCCAACAGGCUACAAGGAACUGAAUUCUGCCAACCACCCCAUGAGCCCUAAAGCCAGUCCGUCCCCGGUGGAGCCUUGAGAUGAGAUGGCAGUCCUGGCCUACACAGUGGCGAAAGCCCUGGGAAAGCCCUUAGAACCAGAGACGCCCAGCUAGGCCACGCCUCGACUCCUGGCCCCAGACAUCGUGAGAUAAUGAACAUAUGCUUUUUUAAGUCACCAAGUUUGUGGGAAUUUGCUAUGUAGCAAUGGAGAACUGACGCAGAAGUCAAGAUGAAGCGCAGCCGAGAGCAGACGAGAUACAGCCAGCCACAAGCCAGCCUUGUGCCUCCUGGGCACAGCCUGAGGUCAGCCUUUUGUUUCUUGCUCUACCCGUCCUUCCUCAGCGUGCUAGUAGUGGCUCUGGCCUCUCCCUCGUUGGCGACCAGAAAGGAUGGGCUGUGGAAAUCCUUCAGAGUUGGACAGAGUGUAUCGACCAAUAGUCUGCCAUGGCCACCUCCAUCUCUAAGGGACAUAUAUCAG